UGGGGCCAAGGAGAGGAAAAGGGACCUCAAGAGUCUGUAGCAAAGAAAUAAAGGGAGAGGAUACCCUCAGGAUGAGAACUCCCAAGGUCCAAGGGAGAGGUGGCCGUGCAGGUGGCUGGGAGAAGAAAGAGGGAAGGCUCCCAAGUGCAACAUGUGGAGUGGCUGGAGCCAUCUGAACAGGUUGAGAAGCCACUUCCUACUCUCUAGCCAAUGGGAAUUAGGAGUUACAAUGGGGAUUUUUGAGCCAGAGAAAGCAAGAAAUGGUUCGUGGGGCUGUGAGCCGGCAUCUGACUUAACUGCUAUAAACCAUCAACCCAUUCCAGCAUGAAAACCUUGACAAUUUAAAUCUGCUCUCCAGGGAGAAAGAGGAGAGAGAGAGAAACAAUGUUCUUCCCUUUAAUUUGGUGAGAAUAAGCAGCAAGUAUGAUGUGAGGAACCUCCUGUUUUGUGCUGUGCCUUUGAAGAAAGAACAAAACACAAUGUCCAGAGAUAAAUUGUCCUGUUCUGAA